UGCAGUCGAGCGAACAGACGAGGAGCUUGCUCCUCUGACGUUAGCGGCGGACGGGUGAGUAACACGUGGAUAACCUACCUAUAAGACUGGGAUAACUUCGGGAAACCGGAGCUAAUACCGGAUAAUAUAUUGAACCGCAUGGUUCAAUAGUGAAAGACGGUUUUGCUGUCACUUAUAGAUGGAUCCGCGCCGCAUUAGCUAGUUGGUAAGGUAACGGCUUACCAAGGCAACGAUGCGUAGCCGACCUGAGAGGGUGAUCGGCCACACUGGAACUGAGACACGGUCCAGACUCCUACGGGAGGCAGCAGUAGGGAAUCUUCCGCAAUGGGCGAAAGCCUGACGGAGCAACGCCGCGUGAGUGAUGAAGGUCUUCGGAUCGUAAAACUCUGUUAUUAGGGAAGAACAAAUGUGUAAGUAACUAUGCACGUCUUGACGGUACCUAAUCAGAAAGCCACGGCUAACUACGUGCCAGCAGCCGCGGUAAUACGUAGGUGGCAAGCGUUAUCCGGAAUUAUUGGGCGUAAAGCGCGCGUAGGCGGUUUUAAAAGUCUGAUGUGAAAGCCCACGGCUCAACCGUGGAGGGUCAUUGGAAACUGGAAAACUUGAGUGCAGAAGAGGAAAGUGGAAUUCCAUGUGUAGCGGUGAAAUGCGCAGAGAUAUGGAGGAACACCAGUGGCGAAGGCGACUUUCUGGUCUGUAACUGACGCUGAUGUGCGAAAGCGUGGGGAUCAAACAGGAUUAGAUACCCUGGUAGUCCACGCCGUAAACGAUGAGUGCUAAGUGUUAGGGGGUUUCCGCCCCUUAGUGCUGCAGCUAACGCAUUAAGCACUCCGCCUGGGGAGUACGACCGCAAGGUUGAAACUCAAAGGAAUUGACGGGGACCCGCACAAGCGGUGGAGCAUGUGGUUUAAUUCGAAGCAACGCGAAGAACCUUACCAAAUCUUGACAUCCUCUGACCCCUCUAGAGAUAGAGUUUUCCCCUUCGGGGGACAGAGUGACAGGUGGUGCAUGGUUGUCGUCAGCUCGUGUCGUGAGAUGUUGGGUUAAGUCCCGCAACGAGCGCAACCCUUAAGCUUAGUUGCCAUCAUUAAGUUGGGCACUCUAAGUUGACUGCCGGUGACAAACCGGAGGAAGGUGGGGAUGACGUCAAAUCAUCAUGCCCCUUAUGAUUUGGGCUACACACGUGCUACAAUGGACAAUACAAAGGGUAGCGAAACCGCGAGGUCAAGCAAAUCCCAUAAAGUUGUUCUCAGUUCGGAUUGUAGUCUGCAACUCGACUAUAUGAAGCUGGAAUCGCUAGUAAUCGUAAAUCAGCAUGCUACGGUGAAUA
rnacentral:rRNA from 1 species